GUGAAGCUCAACAACCUUUUUCCGCACAUCACAGCUAUAUUCCUCACUCUUACCCAUUGUUAUGAAUGACUAAGGGAAUUUGCCCUAUUUGUUACCUCUUAUUUGUACCCCAGUGAAACAGGAAGUCAGGGUUAAUUGUUAGUCAAUGGCCAAUCAGAUUUGAGAAUUCAACUGCAGGGUCAUAAUAACUACCUUUUAUUUUACUGGUUACUAAGCUAACCUGAUUAAUUUCAAUUAAAAGCUGACUUUAGUUUCCAUGCCGACCUGUCUGGAGGUAUUUUACCAUCCCACCUUCACUCAUUAUAACCACGAACACCAGAAAAGCAUCGCAUGCUUUUUCUUUUUAAACAUCCAAUCAGACAAAGAGAAAAGAAAAGACAGUGAAAACGCCUUCGGAUAAAUUAGGCCUUUAUACAUGUUACAUUAAAAAAGCAACAUGCUGAGCAUAAACGCAUUCAUUAUGCUAAUGUACAGCGCUGAAUAUUUUACACGAGCAGGUUCCCUGAACCAUUCUUUCACAUCAACAAUCAUUUAUUAACACCAGGAAGCAGAUAAAAGUCCGGUCUGAGCAUCAGCCUACACACAGGAAGUAUCUGAGAUUGAUACUCAAGUGAGUCCACAAUUCAUACAGCAUAUUUACAUUGCUAAACAUAGGGGUGUACAAACUUUUGUGUCUUAACUUCCAGACAUGGAAGUUAAAAUAUUAUUAUUAUUAAUAGUAGUCCUGCUUCAUUGCCACCAUCACAACUAAGGUGAAUUGUGAGCACUUCCUGUUGCCAGAACAGCACUAUUUCAUCACUCACUAAUCCUACUCCUUCAUUAGAGUCAGUGACUCCUGACAAAUUAAAGGUGCGGUGUGUAAUUUUGAAAAAUGUUUCUGUGUGUUGCGUUCGCAAUUUUUAAAGACGCUGUAAAAAAAAAGAAAAAGAAAAAAAAAGUCUGAUUUGCAAUAUUACCAUGCAACAGAUUUGAACUCUGCUGUAAUUCACGCUUGCGAUUCUGGGCUGGAACAUAGCCCCACCCCCUGACCUUCCUUAAAAGGCAAUCUCACAAGGUAUUGUUUUCUUCUUUUAAUUCUUCACACACACCCCAAAAAAAAAGAAAAGAAUUAAUACCAUUAACACUUCAUAGAUGGGAACUAAAUGCUCUGUUUACAUACCGAAAGCAGGAACUCUUUUCUUUUAUCGUUUUUUUUUCUCAUGACAUGGCAACUUUGGUCGCGAGUUUAUAUCAUCUCCCGGGUUGUUUUAAGUUUGCACACCCUGGUAGAAGCUGACUGGAAUGAAUGUGUGUGUGUGUGUGUGAUGUUAGCAUUAAAAAUACAUACAGAAAUACAUACAUGCCUAAUCAGUGUUUCAUUCACUACCUGUUGAAGUGAACAUUCACCUUAAAACAGCAUCAGUAGCUCUCGCUACUACGCCUGAUCGUUUCGGCUGAAAGUAUCACUCUUUUUUUCUGUAGAAACUGGUCCUUAAUACAUUACUGCAGAAUACUGUACACACAGUAACACAUCAUAUACCCAAUAAGCCUUAAGAGUAAUAUAUUAUUGCUACAUUUUGCUAAAUACACAAUUAAAUAGUGUGUUAAAUGAUUUCCAAUGCAUUUCCUCACAGCCUCCCAGAUUCCACCUAAAUAUGAAAAGGAAUGUGUUUUGAUCCUAUACGGGGGCUGGGGGGGGGGGGGGGGGGGCAAACAUGUUAAAACAACGUAAAUCUAGGCUCGUCUUUGAAUUUUGAGGCUCGGUAUCGAAGUAAUCAACCCGAAUCUCUAAUAUACGUGUUCUGAUUAGCUUUACGCAUUCGUGAUUAUUAAUAAAAACCUUCAUAUCUUCAUACAAGUCGUUUCUCUGCAGGAUGAUGGUUCAAAUCUCUCCAAUACCGGUGUAAAGGAAUGAAUCGAAAGAGAAAAGAAAAGAAAAAGAAAAAAAAAAAGGAAUGGAGCAGCAGUUGUGUCAGCCACAGCUAGGAUAGUUCACGCCGAGGGCCACGUGUCAUCCUCCUGCCGCUCGUUGACGGCGCAGUCUUAAAUGUUCUUCACGCGACCGACUGCACGGUUCCUCAGAGCGAAGCGGCGGCCCGGAGCUCCUCCAGCGUGUACCUGUGGUCCUGAUCCACGUCGUACGGCUCGAGGAGACGGGAAUCCGGAGCGGACGUGCCGAAGAUCUUCAUCAGCUCCUCGUACGUCACGCCUUCAGACGUGUCCUCCAGCUGAGCGUGCACGAGCUUCUCUAAAUCUGAGAGAACGAGAGAGCGAGAAGGUCUGUGAAGAUGUACGACGUACUGAGUAGACGAUAUGACUCGAAAACGAAGAGUCGACUCCAGGAAACGUGAGGGUCUGCAGCGUCGCUC
ensembl:lncRNA